rnacentral:rRNA from 1 species
GACGAACGCUGGCGGCGUGCUUAACACAUGCAAGUCGAACGGAAAGGCCCUGCUUUUGUGGGGUGCUCGAGUGGCGAACGGGUGAGUAACACGUGAGUAACCUGCCCUUGACUUUGGGAUAACUUCAGGAAACUGGGGCUAAUACCGGAUAGGAGCUCCUGCUGCAUGGUGGGGGUUGGAAAGUUUCGGCGGUUGGGGAUGGACUCGCGGCUUAUCAGCUUGUUGGUGGGGUAGUGGCUUACCAAGGCUUUGACGGGUAGCCGGCCUGAGAGGGGGACCGGCCACAUGGGGACUGAGAGACGGCCCAGACUCCUACGGGAGGCAGCAGGGGGGAAUAUUGCACAAUGGGCGGAAGCCUGAUGCAGCAACGCCGCGUGCGGGAUGACGGCCUUCGGGUUGUAAACCGCUUUCGCCUGUGACGAAGCGUGAGUGACGGUAAUGGGUAAAGAAGCACCGGCUAACUACGUG